CCUCCCCCCAGCGCGGCCUUUCAUUUCCGCUUCCGGUGCGGGCCGCGCGCGAGCGCAGCGGUGGGAGGCGGCGACCAGCCGGUUGAGGCCCCAGGCUUGGCCUCACCACAAUGUGGCACGAGGCUCGGAAGCAUGAGCGGAAGCUUCGAGGCAUGAUGGUCGACUACAAGAAGAGGGCGGAGCGGAGACGGGAGUAUUAUGAAAAGAUCAAGAAGGACCCAGCCCAGUUCCUGCAGGUACAUGGCCGAGCUUGCAAGGUGCACCUGGAUUCUGCAGUCGCCCUGGCCGCUGAGAGCCCUGUUAAUAUGAUGCCCUGGCAGGGGGACACCAACAACAUGAUUGACAGAUUCGAUGUCCGUGCCCACCUGGACCACAUCCCCGACUACGCCCCCCCUCUGCUCACCACCAUCUCCCCAGAACAGGAGUCGGACGAACGGAAGUGUAACUACGAGCGCUACAGAGGCCUGGUGCAGAACGACUUUGCCGGCAUCUCAGAGGAGCAGUGCCUGUACCAGAUCUACAUUGACGAGUUGUACGGAGGCCUCCAGAGACCCAGCGAAGAUGAGAAGAAGAAGCUGGCAGAGAAGAAGGCUUCCAUCGGUUAUACCUACGAGGACAGCACGGUGGCCGAGGUAGAGAAGGCGGCAGAAAAGCCAGAGGAGGAGGAGUCAGCAGCCGAGGAGGAGAGCAACUCGGACGAAGAUGAGGUCAUCCCCGACAUCGACGUGGAGGUGGACGUGGAUGAAUUGAACCAGGAGCAGGUGGCAGAUCUCAACAAACAGGCCACGACUUAUGGCAUGGCCGACGGUGACUUCGUCAGGAUGCUCCGGAAAGACAAGGAGGAGGCAGAGGCCAUCAAGCAUGCCAAGGCUCUUGAGGAGGAGAAGGCCAUGUACUCGGGACGCCGCUCUCGACGCCAGCGCAGAGAGUUUCGGGAGAAGCGGCUGAGGGGUCGCAAGAUCAGCCCACCCAGCUAUGCCCGCCGAGACAGCCCCACCUAUGACCCCUAUAAGCGGUCACCCUCGGAGUCCAGCUCAGAGUCCCGCUCCCGCUCCCGCUCCCCGACCCCGGGCCGCGAGGAGAAGAUCACGUUCAUCACCAGUUUUGGGGGCAGCGAUGAGGAGGCAGCCGCAGCCGCUGCUGCCGCAGCAGCAUCAGGAGUCACCACAGGGAAGCCCCCCGCACCUCCCCAGCCUGGCGGCCCCGCCCCGGGACGUAAUGCCAGCGCCCGCCGCCGCUCCUCCUCCUCCUCCUCCUCCUCUUCUGCCUCGAGGACCUCCAGUUCCCGCUCCAGCUCUCGCUCCAGCUCCCGCUCUCGCCGUGGUGGGGGCUACUACCGUUCCGGCCGCCACGCCCGCUCCCGGUCCCGCUCCUGGUCCCGCUCCCGCUCCCGCUCCCGGCGAUAUUCCCGGUCCCGUAGCCGUGGCCGGCGGCACUCAGGUGGGGGCUCCCGAGACGGACACCGGUACUCCCGCUCGCCCGCCCGGCGUGGUGGUUACGGGCCCCGGCGCAGAAGCAGGAGCCGCUCCCACUCAGGGGACCGCUACAGGCGGGGCGGCCGGGGCCUCAGGCACCACAGCAGUAGCCGCAGCCGCAGCAGCUGGUCCCUCAGCCCGUCCCGCAGUCGCAGCCUGACUCGCAGCCGCAGCCAUAGCCCCAGCCCCAGCCAGAGCCGCAGCCGCAGCCGCAGCCGCAGCCAGAGCCCCUCGCCAUCACCCGCAAGAGAGAAGCUGACCAGGCCGGCCGCGUCCCCUGCUGUGGGCGAGAAGCUGAAAAAGACCGAACCUGCCGCUGGUAAAGAGACAGGAGCUGCCAAAGUCAGUAAGAAUUUGGAACUCGCCCGUCUAAUUCCCGUCAGCAGCAGUGCCCAAGAGCUGGGCCCGGUGGGCCUGCAGGGGGGCCCGGGUGGGCUGGGAGAUCCAGCCCCAGGGACAGGGAGGGGAGGGGAAGGGUCUGCCCCUGUGAGAACCAUGUCCCUCUCCCCUCCUCACUGUACACUGGGGCUCCACCUGUCACUGAACCUCUGGGAGCCUCAGGGCUGUCCACAGCCUGCCCCUCCUCCCCACGUCAUUCUCCCCCCGCCCCCCGCACAAAGCCCAAGGCUUUUGGCUGAGGUGGGUUGUGGGAGCUCUGGGACACCCACCCCCUCUCCCGCCUCUUCUCCCCCCUCCCCAGCCCAAGCUGACGCCUCAGGAGAAGCUGAAACUGAGGAUGCAGAAGGCGCUGAACAGGCAGUUCAAGGCGGAUAAGAAGGCAGCACAAGAAAAGAUGAUCCAGCAGGAGCAUGAGCGGCAGGAGCGGGAAGACGAGCUUCGAGCCAUGGCCCGCAAGAUCCGCAUGAAGGAGCGGGAACGCCGAGAGAAGGAGAGAGAAGAGUGGGAACGCCAGUACAGCCGGCAGAGCCGCUCACCCUCCCCCCGAUACAGUCGAGAAUACAGCUCUUCUCGAAGGCGCUCAAGGUCCCGAUCCCGAAGCCCCCAUUACCGACAUUAGGCAGAAGAGUGGGGGGUGGGGAGGACAAGGGGGUGGGUAAGGGGCUCAAGCUGUGAUGCUGCUGGUUUUAUCUCUAGUGAAAUAAAGUCAAAAGUUAUUUAAUUCCCA